rnacentral:rRNA from 1 species
GACGAACGCUGGCGGCGUGCUUAACACAUGCAAGUCGAGCGGUAAGGCCCUUUCGGGGGUACGACGAGCGGCGAACGGGUGAGUAACACGUGGGUGACCUGCCCUCAGCUCUGGGAUAAGCCUGGGAAAUCGGGUCUAAUACCGGAUAUGACUCCAUGACGCAUGUUGUGGGGUGGAAAGCCUUGUGCGGCUGAGGAUGGGCCCGCGGCCUAUCAGCUUGUUGGUGGGGGAUGGCCUACCAAGGCGACGACGGGUAGCCGGCCUGAGAGGGCGACCGGCCACACUGGGACUGAGACACGGCCCAGACUCCUACGGGAGGCAGCAGUGGGGAACCUUGCGCAAUGGGCGAAAGCCUGACGCAGCGACGCCGCGUGAGGGAUGACGGCCU